rnacentral:lncRNA from 1 species
AUUAUUGUAAUAGUUUCCAACUUUCUCAUCCCUUAAUAUUAGUAAUUUUUUUUUAAAGUCUAAGUAUGCAACUUUCAAUUUUUUUGGUGGUUACCUUUAAAUAUUUGAGAAGGGUGACUAUCUAGGUUAAUUUCCUUACUUAUCAUUUUGCAGGCUUGGAAUUUUUUCUUUUCAUUGAAAAUUAGAGAAAGGGUGACUAUCUGGGUUUUCUUAUAAACUUUUUCUGCAAUCUUGAAUACGGAUAAAGUUUAGAUUCUCAUCAAACCACGCCGUUGAACAAUAGCUACAAAAUAGAAGACUUUCUAGAGCAAAACGACCGUCUUAAAUUUUUAUUUAUUUUUUUAUUUUUAAGAGACGGAAGAGACGGAUUAGGCUAUAUCUCCUUAAUUUCUCUUCUAGACACUUAAAUGGCCCAUUAUUUUAUAAAACAUGGAUAAUGGAGACCAAUUUUUUAAAUUAAAUGAUAUGAUUGUUGAUGAUUGAAUUAUUACUUAAGUGUUGACUAACAUGGUUAUUUCCUAUUAGUGACAUCAUUUAGUUUAAAAUUUUAGUCUCCCUAGUAUUAUCUAUUAAACAUAGAUGAAUCUCCCAGUGAGAAACCGAAGUAAGGUCUAGAUUUUGUUGUUGGUUCAAAAUAUAUUAUGAUUGAUCAUUGCUUUUGUGUUUUGUGUUGAAAUGAGAGAAUUAGGGUUUUUGUUUCAAGAGUACACCGUAUGUAUAUAGUCAUACAUCGUACGUAUAUGUAGUCGUACAUUGUAUAUGUAUGUAUAGUCAUGUUUUUUUUUCUUGGGAAUAAAACACAAUAACGACUAGAUCAAAGCACAAUUUUUUCUUGGAUCCUCUCCUGAGCUUAGGAGAUUGAGCCUCCUGAGUAAAGCACACGGGCCGUUGGAUUUUGAUCAGAAGUACGUGCAAGUCUCAGCCUCCUAAGAUCAAGAGAGGAUCCAAAUCCAAGUAAUUGGGACCAAAAACCUCCCAAAAACACACUUAGUAUGAAACACACCUGGGCAUGCAUAACAAUGACAACUUUAUUAUUCCUGCCCUCCAACUCGUUCCCGAGCCAUUUUCUGCACCUCAACAAUCUUCAAUAAAACUUAUUAGUGUCGGCCGGAUUAUAAGCUUAGCUAGGUUGCAAGCUUUCAGUUUAGCCCAUUUGAAAAUUAUCAAAAUUUGUUUGAACACUUACUUGAAUAUCGAGAUGGAUCGUCUUAUUUAUUUUGAGGUAUUGGAGCAAACUGAAUGUUAGCAUAAUAAUAGGUGCCUUAAAAAACAAAACAUAGGGUCAAUAAAAUGGGAUGGUUAGGAAUCCAUUUCCUGGUUAGGAAGUCCUUAACAUAUCAAACGGGUUGCAUUCUAACAUAGUAGUGGUGGAUCUAAGUUUUCACCAAGUAAACUCUCUAUUAGGACAAGUAUGUGCAAGUUUAAUUCACCAUGCAUGCCCUAGGAUGAGCUUUGGUGGAAGUUCUUAUAUUUUAGUAACUCAUCGUAUUUGUUUACUAGGGUCCAACAUAUAACAUAUCAAAAUUGAAGAAAAUCAUGGAGUGAGAUGUAAAUGACGGUCUUGAAUUUUCGAUGUUUCCAUAUGGUUCUACAAUGAAAUCUUGUUCUUAUGCAAUCAGCUCCUACGCGACAAAACUCUCCAAUGCUAUAUUGCCUCGUCCAAGUUCACUGCAAUAGAUUGUCUGUUAAAUAUCUUCAAAACCCAAUCAUCACUACCAAUAUGCUGUCUAACAAAAUCAUAAAAACAGUACCCUUGUUCUGAUACAAAAGGCCAUCUAAUGAAAUGGAUAAAAAUUGAAAUUCCCAUUUACAAGAUUCUUCGUUUUCUUGUGUUCAAUAAUCAUAAGCCAAGUAAAUAUUUAUUUGAAAUAGUUGGGCAGUGUUAGUAUUAUUUAUUUGUAGUUUGUAUGAAACCUUCUGAAAGUGGGCAAAUUUAUUUGGAGCUGUAGAGAACAAUAACCACCAUUUGAGAGAGGUAUUUGGGCUUUGAGAUUGAAUACUUGAUUUUCCAUAAUUAGCUCUACGCUUUUUUGUCAGAAACAAAAUCGGACGACAAUGAAGACGAAGACGGAGUGGUCAUGGCAUUUCAAAUGCAUUGGGAAUGAGUGGUUUCGGCAAUGAAAGCAUGGUAAUAUUUAGUUGAAUUUUAGUGACUUUUGUAAAAAAUUUAAAAGCUACGAGUUUCUCAGACUCAAUGUUUCUCUUUUACCUACUAGCUAGGAAUAAAUGGUAGGAAUUACAUUGGAUACCUGUUGACCCUAGAAAUUACAAAACCUACGUGGCGCGCAGGCCAAGUAUAUUCUAAGCUAACUACGUCCUUCGGUGAUUGCGGGCGUGCCAACUCGUCGGCCGAGGUUCGGCCGAGGAGUAAAUUUGAUGAUGCUGCGUUGGGUCGCGCUACUGACUUCUGCGUCUUGCGAUUGCGGCCGAGAAAGGAACACGUCUCGGCCUUUUGGGUUCUCGAGCCUGAAGACAAGGCUGCUAUUUCUUACAAAGUUCACGAACCGAAUUCGGCUUGCAAUGUGCCGAAUGUAAUAACUGUGACACCUCACCUCGCCGAGAAGGCUAAUGAGAUGACCUCGACCAACAAGGAUUCGAAAAUCCUUCUCGACCGAGACUUGGAUAGGUAAUCGACCGUUCUCGCCGCAGUGCUGUUGAUGCCAACGGAAGAUACUGCGAGACCGACCGACUCUACGGUGACAGAGCUAUCUAUGCCGACUUAAGAUAUCACCGGUUGCUUCCACAGUGCUGUUGAUGCCAACGGAAGAUGUGUCAGCGAAAAAGGAAAAGAAAAAGAUCUCAAGUUGUGAGAGUUUGCGCAGGGCAAUUUUGUAUUGAUUUUGUGGGUGCUCUUCCAUUGCUGAACGUCUUGUAUUUAUAGUAGCAGAACACCGAGCCCGAAUUCCAAUCCUAUUCGAACUAGGUUUCCCUUUCCGGAUUAACAUUACCUCGAUCAGUCCUAUCUCUGCUAGGACUACGAAUCUAGUCCUUAACUGAGCCGGAUUCGCCUUCUAGUUUUACUGAUCUCGUCGAGGGUCCCUAUUGUAUUAGGACUCGACUUGCACUCUGAUUUAACCGACCUAGGCUUGGAAGCCCAUGAGCUGAACGCCCCAUGACCCUCUCGCCGUACAGCUUCCCGGGCCGAAAGUGACUCCUCCCUCGGCCCAAACUGUUAUUUUGGGCCUAAACAAUAAGAGAAUUAAGAUAAUUGAUUAAAAGAUAAUUAUUAUGAUUAAGAACCAUAAUAUUAUCUCUUAACAAUAUCAAAUUAUCUUAACUUUUUAUCCGACGAUUAAGAACCAUGCUUACCCAACGGCCUCGAUCGCUUGGGUCGAUGGUGUAAAAUCGGGUCCAAACACUGCCCCCCAGUUUCCUUGAGCUUUGGUCCGUAAGCCGAAUAGUCAAGGAAAUUAAUCAUUUGUGCCUGGCUCUGAACCGCUUGACAUUGUAUUCGGCUAUCCACUCCAUUCAAAAGAAAGUCGAGCCGAGAAACACCAAGCCAAAACGAUUCCAACUUCCCCGAAGACGUUUAUCACCGAAGCCAUACCAAGCAAUUCCUGCUAACUUUUCACUUGGGCCGAAGAAUUUUUAAAUUACUUUGACGGCCUGUUUUCUCAAAUUUCUUGGUCGAAAAACACAAGACCGAAGAAUAUAUUUCACCGAGCUCGACAAACAAACUUCGGCCAAAUAAAAUUUACGUCCUUAAUAUCCUUAAAAACGCCAUGGGCAGGACGCCAAUGCAAAGUCUUGCUGUCCAAAUACCUUGAUGCCAUACAAAAUUCCUUGAGCCGAAUAUUAGUUACGUAAUCACCAUUUAGACCGAGUCGUCAUGUUGACACUCUUUUCCUGAUUUUUAUCAGCAUGCAUAUCACCUUGACUCCCUCGGCUGUUAACAAUUUGGAAUGAGAUAUAUUACCAUGCAUGCAGCAGCCAAGUGGUUGAGAAAUAAACGGGCUUCUGCGCUCACAUCCUGAAGGCCAUCAUGCUUACACCAAAGCAGUGCUAAUGUCGACUACAUCCCAGCAAACCACCAUUAAGUAGCUUCAUGGAAUCCAAGGUCCACUUGAAGCCAAAAAUGAUUUGAUUCCUCAACAAGUCUGCAGCACAAGAAUCCUAAUCUCUUUGAAGUUAAUGUUCCAGACUCCACCCUAUAAAUGUCAUACUCCACCGAGCAUGCACGUAAUAUUUGCUCACCGAGCACGAACACAACUCGGCAUGCCAUUAUUGUGUUACCAAAACACGGUCGAAAUGGGGAUGGUGGGUUUGGAAGAAAAGAUGAACACCAAGCCACAACGACCAACCUGUGUCGAGCACCAGCCCAUGCUUGCCGAGCUCGGCAAAAAUUGGCAUAUAUAUAUAUAUAUAUAUAUAUAUUUUUUUUUUUUUUUUUUUUUCAACGUAGGCCUACUCGGUGGAAUAAUAUAAACCACCCAUUAUAUGACCUGUUGCCGACACACAUUCUGACAAAACGUGGUACAUAUCCAUAGGCUGAAGCCUAUAUCUUAUCAAAUAUCCAUCUUUUUUUUUUUUUUUUUUUUUGAUGUGAUAUAUAUAUAUGCACGCAACUUUUUCAAAUGGUCGAGGCCGAGACAGAAGCCAAGACUCGGCCGACCCCUUCUUUUAAAGUAGGUACUUCUCGGCCAACUGAUAGAUACAUACUUGGAUUGCUGCACUGUUGUUGCCCCCCUUAUUUCUUAUGCAUCGGCUUAAGUAGCCAGAUGAUUAAGAAAAUAUUUUUUUUUCUAAAUGGAAAUAAAAGUGGCCGAACCAUAUUCAGGAGGAGGCCAACAAUGCUUUAUUCCAAAACGAGAUCUUGUAAUAACAAAAUUUUGAAAUUGAUUUCGCCCCAGGCCGAAUAAAGAAUUUUCUCCAAAUAUUUUUUACUUGGCGAAAUAUUUUUCAUUUUCGGCCGCCGAAUAUGUUAGACAAUUAUUAUGCCCCUCAGGCAUAAUUACGUUGUUAAUUUUGGCUUUUAACCCAAAUAACUUGGCCGAAUGGAAUUUCUCUAUAUCGGCCUUAUCGCCAAUAAUCAUAUCAAUUGGCGUGGUUUCUUGGGCUAGACCAAUGUCUAGGCCUUGUUCGUCAUUGGAGCACUUUUCUGGUGAAUCAUUUUUUGAGCCGAUUUGUGGCUCAGAAACUUUAACUUUUUCUUCUAGGCCUACCACACUUUCAGUCUCGACCGAAAAAAUAGGUGGCCUUUUUUCUUCGGCCAAAUUAACAAUUUUCUUAGGCCGAUGUCUGAUUACGGCCGAAGCGAAAAAUUGCCCCCCGGUCUUUGGGCCUAACCAUUUUUCAAAUGGAAUUGAUCUGUAAUCAGAAACAUAAAGAAAGUUUUCUUCAUCUAGCCAGACAUUAAAUCGAGCCCUGUCUUCAUUUACCCAUUGCCCUUGCAGGGUAACAGGAGCUUUUAUUUUCAACAUGCAAGCGAAUGACUUUUGCAUCUCUCUAUGGCCACGAAGAACUUUUUCUGCUUCCAAAGAUUUUUUACAUUCCUCAUUAUGUUUUUUCAAUUCCUCCAGGAGCUCGUACAAUCGGCUACGUUGAGCCAGAUUGGAAUCUUGAUAUAUCAUAUGAACUUCGUAGUAUUAGCACUGGGUCCCACCGGGCGUGCCAAAAUGUUGACCCUAGAAAUUACAAAACCUACGUGGCGCGCAGGCCAAGUAUAUUCUAAGCUAACUACGUCCUUCGGUGAUUGCGGGCGUGCCAACUCGUCGGCCGAGGCUCGGCCGAGGAGUAAAUUUGAUGAUGCUGCGUUGGGUCGCGCUACUGACUUCUGCGUCUUGCGAUUGCGGCCGAGAAAGGAACACGUCUCGGCCUCUUUGGGUUCUCGAGCCUGAAGACAAGGCUGCUAUUUCUUACAAAGUUCACGAACCGAAUUCGGCUUGCAAUGUGCCGAAUGUAAUAACUGUGACACCUCACCUCGCCGAGAAGGCUAAUGAGAUGACCUCGACCAACAAGGAUUCGAAAACCCUUCUCGACCGAGACUUGGAUAGGUAAUCGACCGUUCUCUCGCCGCAGUGCUGUUGAUGCCAACGGAAGAUACUGCGAGACCGACCGACUCUACGGUGACAGAGCUAUCUAUGCCGACUUAAGAUAUCACCGGUUGCUUCCACAGUGCUGUUGAUGCCAACGGAAGAUGUGUCAGCGAAAAAGGAAAAGAAAAAGAUCUCAAGUUGUGAGAGUUUGCGCAGGGCAAUUUUGUAUUGAUUUUGUGGGUGCUCUUCCAUUGCUGAACGUCUUGUAUUUAUAGUAGCAGAACACCGAGCCCGAAUUCCAAUCCUAUUCGAACUAGGUUUCCCUCUCCGGAUUAACAUUACCUCGAUCAGUCCUAUCUCUGCUAGGACUACGAAUCUAGUCCUUAACUGAGCCGGAUUCGCCUUCUAGUUUUACUGAUCUCGUCGAGGGUCCCUAUUGUAUUAGGACUCGACUUGCACUCUGAUUUAACCGACCUAGGCUUGGAAGCCCAUGAGCUGAACGCCCCAUGACCCUCUCGCCGUACAGCUUCCCGGGCCGAAAGUGACUCCUCCCUCGGCCCAAACUGUUAUUUUGGGCCUAAACAAUAAGAGAAUUAAGAUAAUUGAUUAAAAGAUAAUUAUUAUGAUUAAGAACCAUAAUAUUAUCUCUUAACAAUAGCAAAUUAUCUUAACUUUUUAUCCGACGAUUAAGAACCAUGCUUACCCAACGGCCUCGAUCGCUUGGGUCGAUGGUGUAAAAUCGGGUCCAAACAAUACCAUAAGCGGACAACGUGA